UCCUACACUGAGCUUUCUAAUCAGAAUUUGGAUCCCGGAAUAUUUGGAGUGCUGCCAAGUUGCCAGGUGGAAAAUUCUAUACCAUGAAAUAUUGUUUCUGGCACAAAAAUUGUUAAGAAUACCGGGUCUAAUUGCCACACACACCCAUGCAUAUGUUUCAUACAGAACUAAUGAGUUCGGUGUUCUCAGCUGGGCUCUAAGUCAGCCUCAGCAUCCUGAAACUUCUGGUCCUCAAUGCGUAAUAACAGAUAGCAAAGCAGGGUUAGGGGUUUCUGCUGAGUGGGGAAGAGGAAUAUUGUUUCUGGCACAAAAUUGUUAAGAAUACCGGGUCUAAUUGCCACACACACCUAUGCAUAUGUUUCAUACAGAACUAAUGAGUUCGGUGUUCUCAGCUGGGCUCUAAGUCAGCCUCAGCAUCCCGAAACUUCUGGUCCUCAAUGCGUAAUAACAGAUAGCAAAGCAGGGUUAGGGGUUUCUGCUGAGUGGGGAAGAGGAAUUC
rnacentral:lncRNA from 1 species